AAUGAACGCUGGCGGUGUGCCUAACACAUGCAAGUCGAGCGCGAAAGUCCCUUCGGGGGCAAGUAGAGCGGCGAACGGGUGAGUAACGCGUGAGAAUCUGCCCUUCAGUGAAGAAUACCCUCGAGAAAUCGAGGUUAAUGCUGCAUACGUCUCUUCGGAGAGAAAAGUGGCCUCUUGCUGCUGCUGAGGGAUGAGCUUGCGUGCUAUUAGUUUGUUGGUGGGGUAAUGGCCUACCAAGACAAUGACGGCUAGCCGGCCUGAGAGGGUGAUCGGCCACACUGGAACUUAGAUACGGUCCAGACUCCUACGGGAGGCAGCAGUGGGGAAUAUUGCGCAAUGGGCGAGAGCCUGACGCAGCGACACCGCGUGGAGGAUGAAGGUUUUCGGAUCGUAAACUCCUGUUAAGUGGGAAGAAAAGCAUACGGUUAAUACCCGUAUGUAAUGACGGUACCAUUAGAGAAAGCACCGGCUAACUUCGUGCCAGCAGCCGCGGUAAUACGAGGGGUGCAAGCGUUAUUCGGAAUCAUUGGGCGUAAAGGGUGUGUAGACGGUUUAUUAAGUUUGUUGUUAAAUCUCCCGGCCUAACCGGGAACAUGCGGCAGAUACUGGUAGACUUGAGGAUGGAAGAGAGAAGUGGAAUUCUCGGAGUAGCGGUAAAAUGCGUAGAUCUCGAGAGGAACACCGAUGGCGAAGGCAGCUUCUUGGUCCAUUCCUGACGUUGAGACACGAAAGCGUGGGGAGCAAACAGGAUUAGAUACCCUGGUAGUCCACGCCGUAAACGAUGAUCACUAGACGUUAGUCCCGCUUAGCGGGGGUAGUGUCGUAGCUAACGCGUUAAGUGAUCCGCCUGGGGACUACGGUCGCAAGACUAAAACUCAAAGGAAUUGACGGGGGCCCGCACAAGCGGUGGAACAUGUGGUUUAAUUCGAUAUUACGCGAGGAACCUUACCUGGGUUUGACAUGCUUUUGACAGAUGUAGAAACACAUUUUUUCAUAUCUUUGAUAUGGACAAUUGCACAGGUGCUGCACGGCUGUCGUCAGCUCGUGUCGUGAGAUGUUUGGUUAAGUCCUCUAACGAGCGCAACUCCUGCUACCAGUUGCUAUCCGUAAGGAGCACUCUGGUGGGACUGCCUGGGAAACCAGGAGGAAGGUGGGAAUGACGUCAAGUCAUCAUGGUCCUUAUACCCAGGGCUACACACGUGUUACAAUGGCCAGUACAGAGGGCUGCAAUCCCGCGAGGGGGAGCUAAUCCCAGAAAGCUGGUCUAAGUUCGGAUUGAAGUCUGCAACUCGACUUCAUGAAGUUGAAAUCGCUAGUAAUCGCGUAUCAGAACGACGCGGUGAAUACGUUCUCGGGCCUUGUACACACCGCCCGUCACACCACGAAAGUUGUCUGUACCCGAAGCUCAUUUAGCUAACCCGUAAGGGGGGCGGUGAGUUAAGGUGUGGGCGAUGAUUGGGGUG
rnacentral:rRNA from 1 species